CUUUAGAUCUACAUCAUCGCUGGCCAUACAAAUUGCCCCUACAUCAUUGCAGUCCCCAUCAGUUUCUCAUAUUCCAUCAUCACGAUCCCCUUCAGUUUCCCGUAUUCCUCCUCUUUCUAGCACUCCAUAUGUCCAGCGGUCUCUUAGGUCAUACCAUCAAUCACCUUCUCUAAGUGUAAGUCGCAGCUCAGCAGAUCUUAGGCAUGCCUCUUCGCAAAGAUCCAUU
rnacentral:misc_RNA from 1 species